rnacentral:rRNA from 1 species
UACGAAGGGGGCAAGCGUUGUUCGGAAUUACUGGGCGUAAAGGGCGCGUAGGCGGAUAGUUUAGUCAGAGGUGAAAGCCCAGGGCUCAACCUUGGAAUUGCCUUUGAUACUGGCUAUCUUGAGUUCGGGAGAGGUGAGUGGAAUGCCGAGUGUAGAGGUGAAAUUCGUAGAUAUUCGGCGGAACACCAGUGGCGAAGGCGACUCACUGGCCCGAUACUGACGCUGAGGCGCGAAAGCGUGGGGAGCAACAGGGAUUAAGAAACCCCAGU